rnacentral:rRNA from 1 species
GACGAACGCUGGCGGCGUGCCUAAUACAUGCAAGUAGAACGCUGAAGGAGGAGCUUGCUUCUCUGGAUGAGUUGCGAACGGGUGAGUAACGCGUAGGUAACCUGCCUGGUAGCGGGGGAUAACUAUUGGAAACGAUAGCUAAUACCGCAUAAUAGUAGAUGUUGCAUGACAUUUGCUUAAAAGGUGCAAUUGCAUCACUACCAGAUGGACCUGCGUUGUAUUAGCUAGUUGGUGGGGUAACGGCUCACCAAGGCGACGAUACAUAGCCGACCUGAGAGGGGGAUCGGCCACACUGGGACUGAGACACGGCCCAGACUCCUACGGGAGGCAGCAGUAGGGAAUCUUCGGCAAUGGACGGAAGUCUGACCGAGCAACGCCGCGUGAGUGAAGAAGGUUUUCGGAUCGUAAAGCUCUGUUGUAAGAGAAGAACGAGCGUGAGAGUGGAAAGUUCACACUGUGACGGUAUCUUACCAGAAAGGGACGGCUAACUACGUG